CUACGGGUGGCUCCAGUGAGGAAUAUUGCACAAUGGGGGGUACCCUGAUGCAGCAACGCCGCGUGGAGGAUGACGCAUUUCGGUGUGUAAACUCCUUUUAUAUGUCAAGAAAAUGACGGUAGCAUAUGAAUAAGCACCGGCUAACUCCGUGCCAGCAGCCGCGGUAAUACGGGGGUGCAAGCGUUACUCGGAAUCACUGGGCGUAAAGGACGCGUAGGCGGGUUGGAAAGUCAGGUGUGAAAUCCUACAGCUUAACUGUAGAACUGCACUUGAAACUUCUAAUCUAGAGUAUGGGAGGGGGAGAUGGAAUUAGUGGUGUAGGGGUAAAAUCCGUAGAUAUCACUAGGAAUACCUAAAGCGAAGGCGAUCUCCUGGAACAUUACUGACGCUAAGGCGUGAAAGCGUGGGGAGCAAACAGGAUUAGAUACCCGAGUAGUC
rnacentral:rRNA from 1 species